GCUGGCGGCGCGCUUAAACAUGCAAGUCGAGCGAGAACUGGUCCUUCGGGACCGGGGAAAGCGGCGAACGGGUGAGUAACACGUGGGUAAUCAACCCCUGGCACCGGGAUAGCCCGAGGAAACUCGGAUUAAUACCGGAUGGCCCAACAGCUCUUCGGGGCGGUUGGAAAAGGUAGCUUCGGCCUCCGGCCAAGGACGAGCCCGCGGCGGAUUAGCUUGUUGGUGGGGUAACGGCCCACCAAGGCGACGAUCCGUAGCUGGUCUGAGAGGACGAUCAGCCACACUGGGACUGAGACACGGCCCAGACUCCUACGGGAGGCAGCAGUGGGGAAUCUUGCACAAUGGGCGAAAGCCUGAUGCAGCGACGCCGCGUGAGGGAAGAAGGCUUUCGGGUUGUAAACCUCUUUCAGGAGGGACGAAGCUCCUCGGGUUAAUAGCCCAGAGGGUGACGGUACCUUCAGAAGAAGCCC
rnacentral:rRNA from 1 species